rnacentral:RNase_P_RNA from 1 species
CCAGACGAUCGCGCCAUCGGGUCUCAGAUCCGGUGCCGAGGAACGUCCGGGCUCCACAGAGCAGCGUGGUGGGUAACGCCCACCCGGGGUAACCCGCGAGCAAGUGCAACAGAAAGUAGGUCCACCGGCUGUGCCGGCCAGGAGUGAAACGGUGGUGUAAGAGACCACCAGCGUCGUGUGCGAACGCGAUGGCUGGGUAAACCUCACGCGGAGCAAAACCAAAUAGGAGAACUAUGGAGUUGCUCGCUCCGUUCUCGGGUUGGUUGCUAGAGCCGUGCGGCAACGUACGGCCGAGAUAGAUGAUCGUCCACGACAGAACCCGGCGUAUCGGUUGGCC